UUCUUUUUCUUUUUUGGCAGUUUGUUUAUGAAAUUUAUUUUCUUAUAUGAAUUAUGUAUUUCUCUGGGCAGACAGCCUUUACCUUAUUGCACUAAUAGCACAUCUGUAAUACCAAGCUACAGGACAGGUCUUAACAGAGGUUUGUAUUCUUCAGUAUAGCACUUGUCUACCAGGCACUGUGGAGAGGGAUGGGGAAAAGCUAGGAUUUGGUCAGGAGGUGAAGGAUGGAGCUGGGGAGGGAACAACUGAUAGCCUCUGACAGCUUUUUUCCUGGGAAGGGGAACAUGCAAAGGUUACACCUGGACCUUAGUUGUGGGGUCCAGUUGGAAGGCAACACUGCAGCUUGGCUCCCUUUGUUUCUCAGUUCUGAGUGAGGUGGAGACUCAUUAUCCAUUUAAUUUCAAGAAAUCACUGUGGCCUUUCUGUUGCUUUGGGGACAUCAAUGGGAUAAGAGUCAUCAGAAUUAGAAUUAGCAGCAAUUAAAAA